rnacentral:lncRNA from 1 species
UUUCAGCUAUGUCUGGGCUGGUGGUGGCUGGUAGAUACAGGCCCUGAGGCUCUCUUUCCUCACAGCUGUCACAACACAACGUGAUCCACCCUAGUCUGUACUUCAGAGUGAGCUCAAAAUCCUCAUGCAGUGCUUUCUGUAGAGGAAAACCUGGGGUUACACGGGUCAUAAGCUGAGUAUGAGUCAAGUUCUGUGACAGGAUUGCAAAACAGACAAAUGAUGUUCUGGGAAGUGUUAAUAAUAGAGCCAUACAUAAGCCAAAGAAGGUCAUUUUUCUGGUCUGCUUGCCACUGGAUUGUUCUUCCACAGCUGGAAAAGAGAGUCCUGUUUUGGAGCUUGCAUUCCUUGGCUGCCUCGGGAUGCACAAAUUGCAGUGGAGGCUGGAACCUCCUUGUGCCUGACUACCAAUCUGCAAAACCUGCCUUGGACAAGGACCGUGCUGCCUUACUCCAUGCAUUUCUCACUUCAUUUCUCGCUUCCAUCUUGGACCACUGCACUUUUUCUCAACAGAACAAAGGUCAGAUUCUGGCAUUUCCAUCAAACUUUUCAAGGAAACAGAAAGUCCUGCCUGAGCGUCCACAGAUGAAUCACUAA